rnacentral:sRNA from 1 species
CCCGUAGGCAGCAAGGUAGCAACAAAGAAGUGUCGUAACGCCGUUGUAAUCGAAUUAUCGGUAACAUCAGUUCGUCAUUCGUACUAUCUUGAUUCCCGCAAGACCGAGUCAAAAACCCUCAGGCUGGCUUUAACACCAACCCGGAGGACGACUCAAAAAACAAACGUAAUACAGGAAUUUUUGAUAUGGCAACUGGUACCGUUAAGUGGUUCAACGACACUAAAGGCUUCGGCUUCAUUACUCCUGAAGACGGUGGCGACGACCUGUUUGUUCACUUCUCCGAGAUCCAAUCUCAGGGCUUCAAGAGCCUGGCCGAGAACCAGAAGGUUUCUUUCGAAGUAACCACUGGUCCUAAAGGCAAGCAAGCUGCCAAAGUGACUCCGAUCUGAUCAUCCCGUAUCAGACAGAAAAACCCGCCUCUGAUGGCGGGUUUUUUUA